AAGAGACCUUUAGAACAGCUGGUCAUUAUGCCAACUGGGUGUCCACACUAAGUUCGGCAUCAUUAUGGUGACUUCCUGGGAGCAGGGGACUAGCAGGUUGCCUAAGGAUGGGUGAACUGGCCCAGGGUCAGAAAUGAAGCAGGUCAGAACUCCCAUGCUGAUCGGUAGUGGGACUGCACCUGGGCAGCAUAGCGAGCUCUUGGCUCUU
rnacentral:sRNA from 1 species